UACGUAGGGUGCAAGCGUUAAUCAGAAUUACUGGGCGUAAAGAGCGCGCAGGCGGUCGUUCAAGUCGAGUGUGAAAGCCCCCGGCUCAACUGGGGAGGGUCAUUCGAUACUGCUCGACUUGAAGGCAGGAGAGGGAAGUGGAAUUCCCGGUGUAGUGGUGAAAUGCGUAGAUAUCGGGAGGAACACCAGUGGCGAAGGCGACUUCCUGGCCUGUUCUUGACGCUGAGGCGCGAAAGCUGGGGGAGCAAACGGG
rnacentral:rRNA from 1 species